ensembl:ncRNA K03B8.22 ncRNA
AAAUAAGACUUACUCUGCAUUGCGGCAAAUGUGUUGUCCUUUUGUGACUUGGGGCGCAUUCUGCUCGUCAAGAAUUUUGACGAUAAUUCUGACGCCACCGAUACAACAUCAUCAGCUGGUCCAGGUGUUAAUGGAGGAGGAAGAGGAGAU